GAUGAACGCUGGCGACGUGCCUAAUACAUGCAAGUCGAGCGAACAGACGAGGAGCUUGCUCCUCUGACGUUAGCGGCGGACGGGUGAGUAACACGUGGAUAACCUACCUAUAAGACUGGGAUAACUUCGGGAAACCGGAGCUAAUACCGGAUAAUAUAUUGAACCGCAUGGUUCAAUAGUGAAAGACGGUUUUGCUGUCACUUAUAGAUGGAUCCGCGCCGCAUUAGCUAGUUGGUAAGGUAACGGCUUACCGAGGCAACGAUGCGUAGCCGACCUGAGAGGGUGAUCGGCCACACUGGAACUGAGACACGGUCCAGACUCCUACGGGAGGCAGCAGUAGGGAAUCUUCCGCAAUGGGCGAAAGCCUGACGGAGCAACGCCGCGUGAGUGAUGAAGGUCUUCGGAUCGUAAAACUCUGUUAUUAGGGAAGAACAAAUGUGUAAGUAACUAUGCACGUCUUGACGGUACCUAAUCAGAAAGCCACGGCUAACUACGUG
rnacentral:rRNA from 1 species